rnacentral:misc_RNA from 1 species
CAGAGAGAGAGAGAGGAAGGAGCAGGGGGCAAUCAACGUUUUAGCGAGAAGGAGCGGCCAGAAUUGCUUAAAAAUCUACAAAAGAGGGUAAACCCAACCAAAACCCUUAUCCUAUCUUUUGUUUUCCCUUUUGAAAAACUUUUCUCUAGAUUUCCUCCUCUUUCUCUUCUCUCUCUCACUCUGGCUAGUAAGUCCUUUUGCUUCACUCUCUCUUUUCUCCUUCUCUCAUUCUCUGUUCCUAGCUUUCUUUCUGUCCUUUCCAUAAUCUCCUUACAUAUCAAUACCUUUAAUUUCAAUAUUCUUGCUAAAACCAUCAAUGCCUUCUAAAAAUGGGUAUCUGAAAUUGAUCUGUUUCUGAUCUUUUAGUAAAAAGAAAAAGAAGAAAGAGAUAAAGAAAUGGCCCCAAGGUCUGGGAGAGGCAAGUCAAAUAAAGCUAAGGGAGAGAAGAAAAAGAAAGAGGAUAAAGUGGUAGUGCCAAGCCUUCUUGACAUUACUGUAAUCACUCCAUAUGAUACUCAAGUUGUCCUCAGGGGAAUCUCCACUGACAGGAUACUUGAUGUGAAGAAGCUAUUGGCUGUGAAAGUAGAAACAUGCCACCUUACAAACUAUUCUUUAUCUCAUGAAGUUAAAGGAUAAAAAUUGAAUGAUAAGUAGAGAUUGUUGCUUUGAGGCCUCGUUUGCUCAGAGUUGCUGAAGGCAAGUGAAGUUAUUGAACCAAAAAUUCUGCAUCUAGUCACCCAUGUGAUGGCUCUUAAUUUUACUUUUUUGGUAUUAAUAUUUUUUCAUAUAUCUCUUAUCAUAAAUUUUAAUUCAAUAAUGAAUUAAUUCAUCAUUCCACAUGUUUGGACUUCAAACAUUUGCAAUUGUUGAUAGAAUUGCUAAAGAAAUCCAAAUAAUUUUCAUCAAUUUACAUGCUAUUUGAUACAGAAAUGUUGUAGCAAGAAUCUAAAUACAAAGAAAGGCUUUAUGUCAAGUGAAAGAUUAUCUUGGGUGCUGUUGUCUCCAGAUGGAACAACUAAUCGCAAGGUCAUUGUUUCUUUCUAACUUGGUGCAUUCAUUCCUGUUUGUGCGACAUAACCAGCGAUUAUUUGCUAUUCUUGUGUUCAAUUUGAUCAAUUGUGGUAAAUUCCUAAUGGCUUAGCACCUUCAAUCUUUCCCCUCAACUUUCCUGGUAAUUCCCUCCAAUUUUCUCCACAUUCUUUUGUUUGCUUUGGACAUUUAUUGGAAUUUGCAUUCUAAUUCAUAACUUGAAAUUAGAGCCAAAUUGCAGUAUUUUUAUUCUGUCUUUAAUGGGGUACAUAUGUUUUUUGGUGGUUUUAUAGGGUUUUGUGCAUAUAGAGAAUGUGGAUUGGACAUGAUUUUGGGCAUUAUUAGGUCAUUAUAAGGCAUGCAAUUCAGUGAUAUUACAGUAGAAUUAGAUGAUACCUUUAAUGUUUGUCAUUUACUCACAUGUGUUCUGCACUGUUCUGGUAUUUAAUAUCAUUGAUUUUUACAGAUUCGAAAAGAUUUGAUCUCUGAUAACUAUUCAAUAGUGCAUUUUUACAGAUUCCCAAAGAGAACAAUUGUAAAAAGCAAAAAAGCUACCAUACAUUUUUUUUUUCACAACUAAUAACUUUAUGGACUUUCUUGAAAAUCCAAAAGAAAAGAUAACCCACAGCAAAGCACAGGUCAUACCUAGUUCAUCAUUAACUUAUGUUUUCCGUUUUAAGUGAAUCUGUCUGGUUUUAUCUAGUUUUGGUUCAACAAUGGCAUUAUGCAAGAUGGCCAUGUCAUAGAAAUCCCAGUAGAUGGCCAUGUCAUAGAAAUCCCAGUAGAUGAAGAGCACCAAUAGAAACCAUUGUGUACCACAAACAUGGUCACAACAAUUUCAGAACCACCCACUGACAGAUUCUGCAAUUAUCCAAACUAUUGCCUGCUUCUCAAGAUGUGGAAAAGAGGGAGAGGGAUUGAGUGAGGAGAAGAAGGAGAAAAAAUAUUUAUAUUAAUAUCAGCAAUAAAAUUUUAUUGUUUUUCAUUUAAGUUUGAACCAAACAGAUAAAAUUGUUAUUAUUUUCUUGAAUCUGGCUGAAACUUGACAAAAUUAAAAGGGUUGGACCUGUACAAAUUUGAGGAAGGAUUUGGAUUGUCUUCUUUGUUUGGCCCUGAAAAAAGUAAGGUUCAUUUGCUCUUUUGCGAUAUCUGCCAGUGGUAAUCCAUAUAUCCUUUUUGUAUGUAUGAAUUAUGUUAAAAAUGUUACCUUUUGAUGUAUCAUGGCAUGUAUGCUCAUUUGAAGUUCUGUUAUUUGUAUAAUAGGCAAUUAGGCAUGAGGAAGGCGAAUAAAUGCUUAUUUUGUAUUGAUGCUUUGUAUGUCUAUUAAAAUGAGUUAAAGUUUGCUUUUAAAAAUAUUUGUUUCUGCUCUUUGAAUCUGCUUGCUUAAUUUUAUAGUAAAUGGAGCUUGGAAUGUGUAGAUGUAAUUUUAUAUGCAAGAACUCUAACUUGAACUAGGUUUUUGAAAAGAAAAGAUGAGUGCAAACUAGAGAAAGGAUUUUGGUAUAAGCGCCCAAUUUAAACAAAUUAGGUAAUCAGGUUUAGUUUAGUAAAGAAAAUAUCCUUGUUCUUAGUAGCUAAUAUUGCCUUAACGUUUGUUUGCCUCAUCUUUAGAGCUUCAAGUGUCUUCCUCUCUAUUUAAAGAAACAGCAUAGCAUCUUCUAGUGAUGCAUACAAUCUUCUACAGUUUUCGAAACUUGCAAUUUUGUUCUUGUCUAUGCUGUGCUGUGAUGUAUAAUAUGCAGAAUAAGGGGUUGAUUUUGCUAUUUGUCUCUCAAUUUUAGGAAUUUUCAUGUCAGUUUUUCUCAAUUUUCAUUUUGGUUGAAACUCAACUCUUUACCUCCUUAAAUUUGUUCUCAAAUUUCUCAAAAUGAAUCUCUCUUUCCUUUCCAAAUUGUUCUGGAAAGUCAAUCACUAUAUUAUU